UACGUAGGUGGCAAGCGUUGUUCGGAAUUAUUGGGCGUAAAGAGCUCGUAGGCGGUUUGUCGCGUCUGCUGUGAAAUUUCGGGGCUCAACCCCGAACUUGCAGUGGGUACGGGCAGACUAGAGUGUGGUAGGGGAGACUGGAAUUCCUGGUGUAGCGGUGAAAUGCGCAGAUAUCAGGAGGAACACCGAUGGCGAAGGCAGGUCUCUGGGCCAUAACUGACGCUGAGAAGCGAAAGCAUGGGGAGCGAACAGG
rnacentral:rRNA from 1 species